GAUGAACGCUGGCGGCGUGCCUAAUACAUGCAAGUCGAGCGAACGGACGAGAAGCUUGCUUCUCUGAUGUUAGCGGCGGACGGGUGAGUAACACGUGGAUAACCUACCUAUAAGACUGGGAUAACUUCGGGAAACCGGAGCUAAUAUCGGCUGAUAUUUUGAACCGCAUGGUUCAAAAGUGAAAGACGGUCUUGCUGUCACUUAUAGAUGGAUCCGCGCUGCAUUAGCUAGUUGGUAAGGUAACGGCUUACCAAGGCAACGAUGCAUAGCCGACCUGAGAGGGUGAUCGGCCACACUGGAACUGAGACACGGUCCAGACUCCUACGGGAGGCAGCAGUAGGGAAUCUUCCGCAAUGGGCGAAAGCCUGACGGAGCAACGCCGCGUGAGUGAUGAAGGUCUUCGGAUCGUAAAACUCUGUUAGUAGGGAAGAAAAUAUGUGUAAGUAACUGUGCACAUCUUGACGGUACCUAAUCAGAAAGCCACGGCUAACUACGUG
rnacentral:rRNA from 1 species